ACCUAUCCUUUGUUGCAAAACUCCUCUAUUAUCCCGGCUCCUCCCCUCGCCUCCUUGGACAGUUUCUGCGUUAUCUGUCUCCCGGCUGCAGUCCUCAUUUUGCCCCAAGUAAAACUUAACUCGCGACUCUCACAUUGUGCAUAUUUUUUUUAAAGUCAAAAGUAGCCUAAAAGGGAAGCAUGAAGGUGGGAUUCAAGACUGUCCCACCCAGCCCACAGUGUUUUCGUCAUAGUCUAUUUCAUGUCAGGUAGCAACGGAGGUGGCAAAAACAACAGGCAUUUCUAAUACUCCUUUAUUAUUGUAGAAAUCACCCGAGGCUGACCCCAUGCUAACUACUGAGGUUCACAGUCCUAGGAACAGCAAAGGAGGAAAACAGACAUCUGCACAGAGCCUCAGUGGCCCCAUCCACAUAAUAAGGAUCAGCGCUGUGACCUUGAGGUUCACACCUCUGAAGAAGCGGCCAGGAUUUUCUGGCACCAAAGACUGCCCUGGGCUGUUUCCUCAAGAUACCCAGCUGAUCCUCAGAGG